rnacentral:rRNA from 1 species
UACGAAGGGGGCUAGCGUUGCUCGGAAUCACUGGGCGUAAAGGGUGCGUAGGCGGGUCUUUAAGUCAGGGGUGAAAUCCUGGAGCUCAACUCCAGAACUGCCUUUGAUAUUGAAGAUCUUGAGUUCGGGAGAGGUGAGUGGAACUGCGAGUGUAGAGGUGAAAUUCGUAGAUAUUCGCAAGAACACCAGUGGCGAAGGCGGCUCACUGGCCCGGUACUGACGCUGAGGUGCGAAAGCGUGGGGAGCAAACAGG